UACCAGCACCCCGAGUGGUCGGGACGAUUAUUGGGCCUAAAGCAUCCGUAGCCGGUUCUACAAGUCUUCCGUUAAAUCCACCUGCUCAACAGAUGGGCUGCGGAGGAUACUAUAGAGCUAGGAGGCGGGAGAGGCAAGCGGUACUUAGUGGGUAGGGGUAAAAUCCGUUGAUCCAUUGAAGACCACCAGUGGCGAAGGCGGCUUGCCAGAACGCGCUCGACGGUGAGGGAUGAAAGCUGGGGGAGCAAACCGGG
rnacentral:rRNA from 1 species